rnacentral:lncRNA from 1 species
AGCAAUGAAGCAAACCAUAUGGAUCCCAAAAGAAACCCGCACCGCUCCUACCCCACCUACGAAAACCUAUACAAAAUCUCAUCCCUCCCUCGGCACCAUCGCCGCCGUUUGAGAUGUAAAACCAUCCAUGUAGCAAGGAUGGCAUAUGUGUGUCGCUCCACCAAAGAGCAAGCUCCUCCAUCGUUGAACCAGAUCUAAUUGAUGAAGGUUGAUCAUUUGCUCUGAAUUCUUGCUCUACAAAAGGGCAAUCUCCUCCAUCACCGAGCUAGAUCCAAUCCAGGAAGAUUGAUUGUUUGCGCAGAAAAUCUUGCUAUGUCAAAGGGAAAGCUCCUCCGUCACUGAGUCAGAUCCAGAUGGGGAAGGUUGGUCGUUUGCGCAGAAAAUCUCGCUCUGCCAAAGCGCAAGCUUCUUCAUCGCCGAGCCAGAUCCAAUAGAGGAAGGUUGAUCUUUUGUGUAGAAGUCUCGCUCUGCCAAAGGUAAGCUCUUCCAUCUGAGCCAGAUCUAAUCGAUAAAGGUUGAUCGUUUGCGCAGAAGUCUUGCUCUGUUAAAGGGUAAGCUCCUUUGUCGUCGAGCCAGAUCCAAUCGNNNNNNNNNNNNNNNNNNNNNNNNNNNNNNNNNNNNNNNNNNNNNNNNNNNNNNNNNNNNNNNNNNNNNNNNNNNNNNNNNNNNNNNNNNNNNNNNNNNNNNNNNNNNNNNNNAGAGGAAGGUUGAUCUUUUGUGUAGAAGUCUCGCUCUGCCAAAGGUAAGCUCUUCCAUCCGAGCUAGAUCUAAUCGAUGAAGGUUGAUUGUUUGCGCAGAAGUCUUGCUCUGUCAAAGGGUAAGCUCCUCCGUCGUCGAGCCAGAUCCAAUCGAGGAAGAUUGAUCUCCCAUGCAGAGAAUCUUGCUGUGCCAAAGGGCAAGCUCCUUCUUCGCUGAGACAGAUCCAAAUGAGGAAGGUUGAUCGUUUGCCCAGAAAAUCUCGCGUAGAGGAUGAUUGAUCGUUUGCGAAGAAAAUCUUGUUGUUUCAAAGGGCAAGCUCCUUCGUCACCUAGUCAGAUCUAGAUGAAGGUUGAUCAUUUGCGCUGAAAAUCUCGCGUCGAGGAAGAUUAGUCCUUUGUGCAUAAAAUCUCGCAUUGAGGAAGGUUGGUCGUUUGCACAGAAAAUCUUGCUCCACCAAAGAGCAAGCUCCUCCGCCACCAAGCCAGGUCCAAUUGAGGAAGGUUGAUUGUCUGCACGCAGAAAAUCUUGCUCCGCCAAAGGGCAAGCUCAUUCAUCGCCGAGCGAGAUCCAAUCGAAGAAGGUUGAUCAUUUGCGCAGAAAAUGUAGCUCUCCAAAAGGGCAAGCUUCUCUAUCGCCGAGCCAGAUCCAAUCGAGGAAGGUUCAUUGUUUGCGUAGGAGAUUUUGCUUUGCCAAAGAGCAAGCUUAUCCGUCGCUGAGCUAGAUCCAAUCGAGGAAGGUUCAUCAUUUGCGUAGAAAAUCUUGCUCUGCCAAAGAGCAAGCUCCUCCGCCACCAAGCCAGGUCCAAUUGAGGAGGGUUGAUUGUCUGCACGCAGAAAAUCUUGCUCCGCCAAAGGGCAAGCUCAUCCAUCGCCGAGCCAGAUCCAAUCGAAGAGGGUUGAUCAUUUGCGCAGAAAAUGUAGCUCCCCAAAAGGGCAACCUUCUCUAUCGCCGAGCCAGAUCCAAUCGAGGAAGGUUCAUUGUUUGCGUAGGAGAUUUUGCUUUGCCAAAGAGCAAGCUUAUCCGUCGCUGAGCUAGAUCCAAUCGAGGAAGGUUGAUCGUCUGCGCAGAAAAUCUCGCUCCGCCAAAGGGCACGCUCAUCCGUCACCGAGCCAGAUCCAACCAAAUUAAAGAAGCUUAAUCAUCUGCCUAGGAAAUCUAGCUCCCCCAAAGAACAAGUCUUUCUGUCACCGAGCCAGAUCCAACCAAAUUAAAGAAGCUUAAUCAUCUGCCUAGGAAAUCUAGCUCCCCCAAAGAACAAGUCUUUCUGUCACCGAGCCAGAUCUAAUCAAGGAGGGUUGAUCGUUUGCGCAGAAAAUCUCGCUCCGCCAAAGAGCAAGCUCUUUCGUCACUGAGCCAGGUCCAUCGAGGAAGGCUCAUCGUUUGCGCGGAAAAUCUCACUCCCAAAGGACAAGCUCAUCCAUCACCAAGCUAGAUGCAAUCGAGGAAGGUUCAUCGUUUGCAUAGAAAAUCUCGCUCCGCUAAAGAGCAGCUCAUCCGUCACCGAGCCAGAUCCAGUCGAGGAGGGUUGAUCGUUUACGCAGAGCAAGCUAGUUCGUCACCGAGCCAGAUGCAAUCGAGGAGGGUUGAUCCGGCCGCCAAAGAGCAAGCUCAUUCGUCACCGAGCUAGAUGCAAUCGAGGAGGGUUGAUCGUUUACNN